AAGUCGUAACAAGGUUUCCGUAGGUGAACCUGCGGAAGGAUCAUUAACGAAUGGAUUGGCCGUAAGGCUGAUAUCUCUUCACCCGUGCUCGAAAGGACUGGUGAGCUGCGCGCGGGUUGAAUUUAAAUCAACUUGUCGAAGCGAGCUGGCUCCUGUUUUACAUGCAAGUGAUAUUUGUCUGAUACGUUUGAAACAAGUACAAAACUAUGAACAACGGAUCUCUAGGCUCUU
rnacentral:misc_RNA from 1 species